AUUGAACGCUGGCGGCAGGCCUAACACAUGCAAGUCGAGCGGAUGAAGGGAGCUUGCUCCUGGAUUCAGCGGCGGACGGGUGAGUAAUGCCUAGGAAUCUGCCUGGUAGUGGGGGAUAACGUCCGGAAACGGGCGCUAAUACCGCAUACGUCCUGAGGGAGAAAGUGGGGGAUCUUCGGACCUCACGCUAUCAGAUGAGCCUAGGUCGGAUUAGCUAGUUGGUGGGGUAAAGGCCUACCAAGGCGGCGAUCCGUAACUGGUCUGAGAGGAUGAUCAGUCACACUGGAACUGAGACACGGUCCAGACUCCUACGGGAGGCAGCAGUGGGGAAUAUUGGACAAUGGGCGAAAGCCUGAUCCAGCCAUGCCGCGUGUGUGAGGAAGGUCUUCGGAUUGUAAAGCACUUUAAGUUGGGAGGAAGGGCAGUAAGUUAAUACCUUGCUGUUUUGACGUUACCAACAGAAUAAGCACCGGCUAACUUCGUG
rnacentral:rRNA from 1 species